rnacentral:rRNA from 1 species
AGCUACAGGCUUAACACAUGCAAGUCGAGGGGCAGCAUGGUCUUAGCUUGCUAAGGCCGAUGGCGACCGGCGCACGGGUGAGUAACACGUAUCCAACCUGCCGUCUACUCUUGGACAGCCUUCUGAAAGGAAGAUUAAUACAAGAUGGCAUCAUGAGUCCGCAUGUUCACAUGAUUAAAGGUAUUCCGGUAGACGAUGGGGAUGCGUUCCAUUAGAUAGUAGGCGGGGUAACGGCCCACCUAGUCUUCGAUGGAUAGGGGUUCUGAGAGGAAGGUCCCCCACAUUGGAACUGAGACACGGUCCAAACUCCUACGGGAGGCAGCAGUGAGGAAUAUUGGUCAAUGGGCGAGAGCCUGAACCAGCCAAGUAGCGUGAAGGAUGACUGCCCUAUGGGUUGUAAACUUCUUUUAUAAAGGAAUAAAGUCGGGUAUGGAUACCCGUUUGCAUGUACUUUAUGAAUAAGGAUCGGCUAACUCCGUGCCAGCAGCCGCGGUAAUACGGAGGAUCCGAGCGUUAUCCGGAUUUAUUGGGUUUAAAGGGAGCGUAGAUGGAUGUUUAAGUCAGUUGUGAAAGUUUGCGGCUCAACCGUAAAAUUGCAGUUGAUACUGGAUAUCUUGAGUGCAGUUGAGGCAGGCGGAAUUCGUGGUGUAGCGGUGAAAUGCUUAGAUAUCACGAAGAACUCCGAUUGCGAAGGCAGCCUGCUAAGCUGCAACUGACAUUGAGGCUCGAAAGUGUGGGUAUCAAACAGGAUUAGAUACCCUGGUAGUCCACACGGUAAACGAUGAAUACUCGCUGUUUGCGAUAUACAGCAAGCGGCCAAGCGAAAGCGUUAAGUAUUCCACCUGGGGAGUACGCCGGCAACGGUGAAACUCAAAGGAAUUGACGGGGGCCCGCACAAGCGGAGGAACAUGUGGUUUAAUUCGAUGAUACGCGAGGAACCUUACCCGGGCUUAAAUUGCAGAUGAAUUACGGUGAAAGCCGUAAGCCGCAAGGCAUCUGUGAAGGUGCUGCAUGGUUGUCGUCAGCUCGUGCCGUGAGGUGUCGGCUCAAGUGCCAUAACGAGCGCAACCCUUGUCGUCAGUUACUAACAGGUUCCGCUGAGGACUCUGACAAGACUGCCAUCGUAAGAUGUGAGGAAGGUGGGGAUGACGUCAAAUCAGCACGGCCCUUACGUCCGGGGCUACACACGUGUUACAAUGGGGGGUACAGAGGGCCGCUACCACGCGAGUGGAUGCCAAUCCCCAAAACCUCUCUCAGUUCGGACUGGAGUCUGCAACCCGACUCCACGAAGCUGGAUUCGCUAGUAAUCGCGCAUCAGCCACGGCGCGGUGAAUACGUUCCCGGGCCUUGUACACACCGCCCGUCAAGCCAUGGGAGCCGGGGGUACCUGAAGUGCGUAACCGCGAGGAGCGCCCUAGGGUAAAACUGGUGACUGGGGCUAAGU